UAGCUCAGAUGGCAAGGGCAUCUGGCUCCUGACCGGAAGGUCCUGGGUUCAAUCCCAG
rnacentral:tRNA from 1 species